AGCGUACACGGUGGAUGCCCUGGCAGUCAGAGGCGAUGAAGGACGUGCUAAUCUGCGAUAAGCGUCGGUAAGGUGAUAUGAACCGUUAUAACCGGCGAUUUCCGAAUGGGGAAACCCAGUGUGUUUCGACACACUAUCAUUAACUGAAUCCAUAGGUUAAUGAGGCGAACCGGGGGAACUGAAACAUCUAAGUACCCCGAGGAAAAGAAAUCAACCGAGAUUCCCCCAGUAGCGGCGAGCGAACGGGGAGCAGCCCAGAGCCUGAAUCAGUGUGUGUGUUAGUGGAAGCGUCUGGAAAGGCGCGCGAUACAGGGUGACAGCCCCGUACACAAAAAUGCACAUGCUGUGAGCUCGAUGAGUAGGGCGGGACACGUGGUAUCCUGUCUGAAUAUGGGGGGACCAUCCUCCAAGGCUAAAUACUCCUGACUGACCGAUAGUGAACCAGUACCGUGAGGGAAAGGCGAAAAGAACCCCGGCGAGGGGAGUGAAAAAGAACCUGAAACCGUGUACGUACAAGCAGUGGGAGCACGCUUAGGCGUGUGACUGCGUACCUUUUGUAUAAUGGGUCAGCGACUUAUAUUCUGUAGCAAGGUUAACCGAAUAGGGGAGCCGAAGGGAAACCGAGUCUUAACUGGGCGUUAAGUUGCAGGGUAUAGACCCGAAACCCGGUGAUCUAGCCAUGGGCAGGUUGAAGGUUGGGUAACACUAACUGGAGGACCGAACCGACUAAUGUUGAAAAAUUAGCGGAUGACUUGUGGCUGGGGGUGAAAGGCCAAUCAAACCGGGAGAUAGCUGGUUCUCCCCGAAAGCUAUUUAGGUAGCGCCUCGUGAAUUCAUCUCCGGGGGUAGAGCACUGUUUCGGCAAGGGGGUCAUCCCGACUUACCAACCCGAUGCAAACUGCGAAUACCGGAGAAUGUUAUCACGGGAGACACACGGCGGGUGCUAACGUCCGUCGUGAAGAGGGAAACAACCCAGACCGCCAGCUAAGGUCCCAAAGUCAUGGUUAAGUGGGAAACGAUGUGGGAAGGCCCAGACAGCCAGGAUGUUGGCUUAGAAGCAGCCAUCAUUUAAAGAAAGCGUAAUAGCUCACUGGUCGAGUCGGCCUGCGCGGAAGAUGUAACGGGGCUAAACCAUGCACCGAAGCUGCGGCAGCGACGCUGAUGCGUUGUUGGGUAGGGGAGCGUUCUGUAAGCCUGCGAAGGUGUGCUGUGAGGCAUGCUGGAGGUAUCAGAAGUGCGAAUGCUGACAUAAGUAACGAUAAAGCGGGUGAAAAGCCCGCUCGCCGGAAGACCAAGGGUUCCUGUCCAACGUUAAUCGGGGCAGGGUGAGUCGACCCCUAAGGCGAGGCCGAAAGGCGUAGUCGAUGGGAAACAGGUUAAUAUUCCUGUACUUGGUGUUACUGCGAAGGGGGGACGGAGAAGGCUAUGUUGGCCGGGCGACGGUUGUCCCGGUUUAAGCGUGUAGGCUGGUUUUCCAGGCAAAUCCGGAAAAUCAAGGCUGAGGCGUGAUGACGAGGCACUACGGUGCUGAAGCAACAAAUGCCCUGCUUCCAGGAAAAGCCUCUAAGCAUCAGGUAACAUCAAAUCGUACCCCAAACCGACACAGGUGGUCAGGUAGAGAAUACCAAGGCGCUUGAGAGAACUCGGGUGAAGGAACUAGGCAAAAUGGUGCCGUAACUUCGGGAGAAGGCACGCUGAUAUGUAGGUGAAGUCCCUUGCGGAUGGAGCUGAAAUCAGUCGAAGAUACCAGCUGGCUGCAACUGUUUAUUAAAAACACAGCACUGUGCAAACACGAAAGUGGACGUAUACGGUGUGACGCCUGCCCGGUGCCGGAAGGUUAAUUGAUGGGGUUAGCGCAAGCGAAGCUCUUGAUCGAAGCCCCGGUAAACGGCGGCCGUAACUAUAACGGUCCUAAGGUAGCGAAAUUCCUUGUCGGGUAAGUUCCGACCUGCACGAAUGGCGUAAUGAUGGCCAGGCUGUCUCCACCCGAGACUCAGUGAAAUUGAACUCGCUGUGAAGAUGCAGUGUACCCGCGGCAAGACGGAAAGACCCCGUGAACCUUUACUAUAGCUUGACACUGAACAUUGAGCCUUGAUGUGUAGGAUAGGUGGGAGGCUUUGAAGUGUGGACGCCAGUCUGCAUGGAGCCGACCUUGAAAUACCACCCUUUAAUGUUUGAUGUUCUAACGUUGACCCGUAAUCCGGGUUGCGGACAGUGUCUGGUGGGUAGUUUGACUGGGGCGGUCUCCUCCUAAAGAGUAACGGAGGAGCACGAAGGUUGGCUAAUCCUGGUCGGACAUCAGGAGGUUAGUGCAAUGGCAUAAGCCAGCUUGACUGCGAGCGUGACGGCGCGAGCAGGUGCGAAAGCAGGUCAUAGUGAUCCGGUGGUUCUGAAUGGAAGGGCCAUCGCUCAACGGAUAAAAGGUACUCCGGGGAUAACAGGCUGAUACCGCCCAAGAGUUCAUAUCGACGGCGGUGUUUGGCACCUCGAUGUCGGCUCAUCACAUCCUGGGGCUGAAGUAGGUCCCAAGGGUAUGGCUGUUCGCCAUUUAAAGUGGUACGCGAGCUGGGUUUAGAACGUCGUGAGACAGUUCGGUCCCUAUCUGCCGUGGGCGCUGGAGAACUGAGGGGGGCUGCUCCUAGUACGAGAGGACCGGAGUGGACGCAUCACUGGUGUUCGGGUUGUCAUGCCAAUGGCACUGCCCGGUAGCUAAAUGCGGAAGAGAUAAGUGCUGAAAGCAUCUAAGCACGAAACUUGCCCCGAGAUGAGUUCUCCCUGACUCCUUGA
rnacentral:rRNA from 2 species